UACAGAGGUGGCAAGCGUUGUUCGGAAUCACUGGGCGUAAAGGGUGCGUAGGCGGGUUUUUAAGUCAGGGGUGAAAUCCUGGAGCUCAACUCCAGAACUGCCUUUGAUACUGAGGAUCUUGAGUUCGGGAGAGGUGAGUGGAACUGCGAGUGUAGAGGUGAAAUUCGUAGAUAUUCGCAAGAACACCAGUGGCGAAGGCGGCUCACUGGCCCGAUACUAACGCUGAGGCACGAAAGCGUGGGGAGCAAACAGG
rnacentral:rRNA from 1 species